AAUUUGAAAUCUGGCGUCUUCGACGUCCGAGUUGUAAUUUGAAGAAGGCGACUUUGUAGCUGGUCCUUGUCUAUGUUCCUUGGAACAGGACGUCAUAGAGGGUGAGAAUCCCGUGUGGCGAGGAUCCCAGUUAUUUGUAAAGUGCUUUCGACGAGUCGAGUUGUUUGGGAAUGCAGCUCUAAGUGGGUGGUAAAUUCCAUCUAAAGCUAAAUAUUGGCGAGAGACCGAUAGCGAACAAGUACAGUGAUGGAAAGAUGAAAAGAACUUUGAAAAGAGAGUGAAAAAGUACGUGAAAUUGUUGAAAGGGAAGGGCAUUUGAUCAGACAUGGCGUUUGCUUCGGCUUUCGCUGGGCCAGCAUCAGUUUUAGCGGUUGGAUAAAUCCUCGGGAAUGUGGCUCUGCUUCGGUAGAGUGUUAUAGCCCGUGGGAAUACAGCCAGCUGGGACUGAGGAUUGCGACUUUUGUCAAGGAUGCUGGCGUAAUGGUUAAAUG
rnacentral:rRNA from 1 species